GACGGAGGAUGCAAGCGUUAUCCGGAAUGAUUGGGCGUAAAGCGUCCGCAGGUGGCAGUUCAAGUCUGCUGUCAAAGACCGGGGCUUAACUUCGGAAAGGCAGUGGAAACUGAACAGCUAGAGUAUGGUAGGGGCAGAGGGAAUUCCUGGUGUAGCGGUGAAAUGCGCAGAUAUCAGGAGGAACACCGGUGGCGAAGGCGGGUCUCUGGGCCGCAACUGACACUGAGGGACGAAAGCUAGGGGAGCGAAUGGG
rnacentral:rRNA from 1 species